UGUUGUCGGAGGCUCUGACGAUAUUGCACUACUGUCCUCACCGUUAAGCAGUGCAAUAGUAUUGUCAAAGCGUCAGGCAACAGA
rnacentral:pre_miRNA from 1 species